GUCAAAGGUAGAAGCAGGGGAGAGUUCUUGCUGAAGGUUAGUGAUGAAAGAAGAGAUAUCUUGGGGUGGCUCAUCUUCUUCUUCAUCAAGAAGAGAGAGUAUGUGGUUAUAUGACUUGUGGCGCUUAUUAAUUUCAUCAACAACGACAUCUUCUAUUUGAGCGUCAUCUCUGAGGCGCUUUGAUUGUGUCUCCGCCAUUAGAGAGAGAGAGUUACUAGGAAGCAGAGAAAGACAAGGUACGAGAAG
rnacentral:misc_RNA from 1 species